rnacentral:lncRNA from 1 species
AACUUAAUAUGUUAUCAUUUUGUCUAAUUAGCAGGGAAUAGGAAGAGUUGAAUAAUGUCUUUGUUUAUGUAAUUUGGCUAUAAAGUAAAGCAAAAUUCUGCCGGGUGAAUGCAAUUUCCUAUUGACUUUCACAUCGCAUUGGACACCCUCCUUGUGGCCAUGGCUGCUCAGGGGAGCAGUACCCUCUCCCGUCCUGUGGUGCUGGCCU